rfam:Felis catus isolate Cinnamon breed Abyssinian chromosome E1, whole genome shotgun sequence.
GCCCGGGUGGCUCAGUCGGUUAAGCGUCUGACUUCAGCUUAGGUCGUGAUCUCGCGGUCCGUGAGUUCGAGCCCCACGUCGGGCU